rnacentral:tRNA from 1 species
GGUCCUGUGGCCGAGUGGUUAGGCACAGCUCUGCAAAAGCUGCUACUCCAGUUCGAACCUGGACGGGACCU